GUAACCUACCUAUAAGACUGGGAUAACUCCGGGAAACCGGGGCUAAUACCGGAUAACACAUGAAACCGCAUGGUUUCAUGAUGAAAGACGGUUUUGCUGUCACUUAUAGAUGACCCGCGGCGUAUUAGCUAGUUGGUAAGGUAACGGCUUACCAAGGCAACGAUACGUAGCCGACCUGAGAGGGUGAUCGGCCACACUGGAACUGAGACACGGUCCAG
rnacentral:rRNA from 1 species